GACGAACGCUGGCGGCGUGCUUAACACAUGCCAGUCGAACGGAAAGGCCCUGCUUUUGUGGGGUGCUCGAGUGGCGAACGGGUGAGUAACACGUGAGUAACCUGCCCUUGACUUUGGGAUAACUUCAGGAAACUGGGGCUAAUACCGGAUAGGAGCUCCUGCUGCAUGGUGGGGGUUGGAAAGUUUCGGCGGUUGGGGAUGGACUCGCGGCUUAUCAGCUUGUUGGUGGGGUAGUGGCUUACCAAGGCUUUGACGGGUAGCCGGCCUGAGAGGGUGACCGGCCAAAUUGGGACUGAGAUACGGCCCAGACUCCUACGGGAGGCAGCAGUGGGGAAUAUUGCACAAUGGGCGGAAGCCUGAUGCAGCAACGCCGCGUGCGGGAUGACGGCCUUCGGGCUGUAAACCGCUUUCGCCUGUGACGAAGCGUGAGUGACGGUAAUGGGUAAAGAAGCACCGGCUAACUACGUG
rnacentral:rRNA from 1 species